GCUGAUGCCAAUUUCUGACAACGUGAUUCGUUCAGAAUCGUCACGUGACGUGCUCUGACAUUUCCACGGUAGUUCAGAUUCAGAAUGUCGAAAGAAAGUGCGUCGAAAACGGUCGAAAAUCACCUCAGAGAAGACGAAAACAGUUGUUAUCAGCAAGAAGACACAGGGGAUUACACACUAAGACAGCAGAUGAUGAAAUGCCUUCACAUAGUACGUCGAUGUUUAAACUGUCGUUCAGAAAACCGGAGUUUUCAGACAGCGGAGACGUUUGCAGGUGGACUGGUGUUUACAUGGUCCGUGGGAGCUGGAAGUCUGCAGAUGUGCAGCCUCAGUGGAUGCCAUCUGGGAAGAAGAGGAGGAACCUUCUAGAUACAGACCAGCUGAAGGGACAUCUUCUCUGAGCUGAAGCUCUGAGAGGCAGGAAUGAGGCUCCCCUACCGCUGAGCUCAAGAUGAGAGAGUGGUGGGUUUGAUCUGCAUCCCGCUGGUGGCCGUCUCCCUGCACAUCCCGCCCCCUCAGCUGUCACCUAGCUGCCCUGCAAAAGUGGCAUAGUGCCGGGGAGGUGUUCCAUUUCAGAGGCAGGGAGAUCUUCUACAGAGAUUCCUAUGGGGCUUUGGGAAGCUCCGAUGUCGUCAUUUUGCUCCAUGGCUUCCCCACCUCCUGCUUCGACUGGAACAAGAUCUGGGAGCCACUCACUCAGCGCUUCAAUCGAGUCAUUGCACUGGACUUCCUGGGCUUUAGCGACAAGCCACGACCCCACAGGUACUCCAUCUUCGAGCAGGCCAGUGUGGUGGGGGCCCUGGUGGCUCACUUGGGUCUGAGCAACCAGCGAGUGACUCUGGUGUCCCAUGACUAUGGAGACACUGUGGCCCUGGAGCUGCUCUUCAGGACUGACCAAAACCGCACAGGACACCUCAUCAUUAAAGUCUUUCUAAUGGAGGUGCAGUCUGUUGUGUGUGACUCUUAGGCCGACAGACAGAUAUGGAAGAAAUGAAGAGCUAUUAGAAUGUGAAUCUUACACACAACUAAAGAACUAAUUGGGACAUUGAACCAUGAAUGAAUAGCCUACUUAAAAGAAUAAUUUGAUAUAUUGGCAAAUAUCAUUAUCAAACAUCAAGGUACUAAUUAUAAGCGAGCAUGUCUGAUCAGGUUCCAUUUUUUUCCAGUCAGUUAUCUUGAUAUAAAUUUAAAGUGCAGUGACUUCUUGGAGUCUCUGCUGGUUGCCUGACAGGACAGUAUCCCAAGCAGUUUUAUCAAAAAGUCAAACUAUUUCUUUAAAUAUUCAGUAGUAACAUUUUUACAGUUAGGUUUUCAAUUGUGCAUAAGAUUUAAAUUAUUUUGGCCGCUUCUUGCUUCCAUAAACAGACCAGCAAAGAACCAGUGACUGUAGAUACAUACAUUCUGUGUACAUUUGCAUGUACAUCCAGUCGCAUCACUUUAUUAGGUCCAUCUAGUUAACGUGAAUGUGGUCUUUUGGAACAGUCCUGCAGUAAACCCUACCUUCACAAAGGUUAGAAUGUUCAGUUUUUGUUGAAUGUGUUUUGGAAAGUAGUUGAUUCGACAUUUAGAGGCUGCAGUUUGUGAUGAUGUUGAACUGUAUACUGACAGGUGUUUCUAUUAUUUUGGCCACCCCAUUUAUACCAGUAAAGGUAGGCUAAAUAACAGAAAGAUUUCUCUGUAUAAUGCCAACCAUUUCAACGGCAUCCUCCAAAAUGAGUUAAAUCAACACCUCUGUAAAACAUUUAGACCUUCAUGAAAAGUCAGGUUUAUUACAGGACUGUUGUUUUAGACUGCAUGAGUUUUUGCUAGGUGUACCUAAUAAACUGGCGACUGAGUGCAUGUCGACUGUUAAUCGAAUGCCCUGUCACAAACACUGAACUACGCUUUCCUUUCACAGUCCUCACCUCAGUUUAAUAUAAUCCCGUUUAGCCGCUGAGAGUUCCGAGUCUGACUUUCCUUUUUGCCCAGUGGGAGGGUUGCCAUGUACUGUAUGAUGUGCAUUAUUUCUACAGGGCAAGAUCUGACUCAGGAUCCAGCUCUCUGCCUCCAGUUUCUUCUCUUCUUUAGGACUGUGUCAAACUGUCCCUCAGCCCCAGGAUUUCAGACACACUCAGUCAUUCAUGAUCUAAGAACAUUGCCUUCCUUUGAGAACACAUCACCCUUGCGAUAAGGUGCCAAACACUGGAUUAUCUGAUUAACUUUCUCUCUGGACUCUGAAUGAGCUCUCCAUCUUCCAAUUCAUGCUAAUUUCAAUCUUCUUCCUGUACCGCUCCUUUUGGAUGGCAAGGCUUCUUCUUGCUUUGCACUAUGUGGGUCGCCUCAGUCAGUGCCAUUUUCUGCUCUUAUGGGAUAAGGAACAGUUGUGUGACGUUCUGCUCCCCCCUAGUGGUCAUAUGUUGAAAUUCCAAUUGAUCCUUUCUGAAUGAUCCAGGGAUUACUUGAGCUUUCUACGUACACACUUUGAUUCUUCCCUCAGCGAAUGGCCAAUGUUUUUAACUACCUAUUUUUUUUUUAUACCAAAGACUGACCGUAUAAUUAAAUGUUCUUUAAAAGAGGGGAAUUCUUCUUAAAGCCAUAGAGAAAGCAUUGCUUUUAGUCUACUCAAGCAUAAAUGUGGUUUACAUCAGCAUUUGCCAAUGUUUAGUCUUCUGUAACACUGGGGUUCCUGGGGGCCAGAGUGCCACACAAGACCCUCAUGAUGUUAGUAACUGACAAAGCCAGUCCAGGAGAACAGGAAACCACUCCAUUAUAUUGAGACCAACCCCAUUCCAUCCUGAUGUGCCUGCAUGGUCUUUUUAUAU